GUCAGGCAUGCUAGUCUGUGCCUAUAGACCCAGCUACUCAGGAGGCUGAGGCAGGAGGAUCACUUGAGUCCAGUAGUUCUGGGCUAUAGUGCUCUAUGCUGAUUGGGUCUCCACAAUAAAUUCUGAAUCAACAUAGUGACCUCCCACCUCCCAGGAGUCGGGGACCAUAGGUUGCCUAAGAAGGGUUGAACUGGCCCAGGUCAGAAAUGGGGCAGGUCAAAACUCCAGUACUGAUCAGUAGUGGGAUUGUAUUUGUGAGUAGCCAUUGCACUCCAGCCUGAGCAACAUAGUGAGACCUCAUUUCUA
ensembl:misc_RNA Metazoa_SRP Metazoan signal recognition particle RNA